UUAGACAAAAGAUACCGAAAAGUGGUUCAGGCAGUUGAUGUCAUUCAAUUGUUGCUAAUCAUUUCAUUGCAUUACAGUAUUUUAAGUCUUAUAAACCUCUUCUCUCCAGAAGCUUUAGGCGGAAUUUAAGAUCAAAAUAUAACAGAGAUCGUUAUUAAAACAACGGCAUCACACAAAAACCUUAGAAGCAGAUUUUCAUCUUCCUGCUUAAUCAAGCCAGGUCUUAAGUAGUGAUUUAUUGAUUUAUUAUCUAACUGAGAUAUCUGUUGGUUUGCUGGGUGAAGUCCAGUCAAUGUGUUU